AGGGCCCGCCCCCGCCCCCAGCCGUUCGGGCGUUCGCCCCUUCUGGGGCCCCCCUGCCCUGCUUCUGUGUGCUCAGCUCGCGUCGUGCAGUCCUCCCCACAGCGCCCGCGACCCUUCGCCUCUCAACCUGACUCCUUUGCAGCUCCUCCCACCCGCCCCACAUGAAGCCCAGCCCCCACAACCUCUUACUUCUGCCCCUGAAAAAUGGUUGUGAGCAGCGGAGGAGCUGGUUGAUACGUGUAGGUUGUAGGUUUUUAACUUCUGCUUUGGUGGAGUGGGAGGAAAGAAUCGAAGACCGGCCCCACUCUCUUCCCCGUCCAUCAUUGUCUCCACUGGCUUUCUGGGUGUCCACCUAUAAUGGGAGUCUGGAAAAAUUCAGUGCUUGGACUCUGCUUUCAAGAAUGUGGUUGACCAUGACUAACUGGAGCCAUUGAAAAUGAAACUGGGCAAGGUGCAGUGGCUCACACCUAUAAUCCCAGCACUUCGGGAGGCCAAACGGGAGGAUUACCUGAGGCCACAAGUUUGAGACCAGCCUGGACAACAUAGACCCUGUCUCUAUUUAAAAAAAAAAGAAAGUGAAACUGCAGGUCAGGGGGACUGCUGUAAUGAAGAAAAUACCAAUCCAUCACAAACUCUGUCGGAAAACAGAAGAGGAGGGAACAUUUCUCAACUUAUUUUAUGAGGCCAGCAUUACAUUAAUACCAAAGCCAGACAAAUUAUUAUAAGAAAAAAACAAAGAUCAAUAUCCCUCAUGAACAUUGAUGCAAAAAUCCUUAACUAGAUAGUUGCAAAAAAAAAUCCAGUAAUACAUAAAAGGAAUAAUACAUCAUAACCAAAUGGGGUUUGUCACAGGUUGGUUUCAUAUUUGAAAAUAUCCAUUCACAAUAUUAAUAAAUAAUAGGGUAAAGCUAUAUGGUCCUCUACAGUUGGCAAAUGGGAAGGGAAGGUAGAAGGCGAAAGCUCCUGGGGUUUUUAUGUAUAUGCUUGUCCCUCCCACCCAGAAUCACAACUUGUCAGAAUUCACUUUUCAAAGUUAGGCCUUCAUGAUAGGCACAUUCUUUAAAAGAAAAUGUUUAAUGUGAAACAUCAUACAUACACAGAAAAGUGCUUCCCUUCCCAAUAUAUAGAUCACACUGAUUGAUCACAAUUGUGUGUAAUCACCUCACAAGUCUAGAAAUAUUAAUAUUGACAGCACCCCAGAAGUGACUCUUAUGUCCUUUCCUACUUUUCUUUUUCCUCAACGCUAACCACCCUCUCCACUUGUAACACCAUAGAUUACUCUGUUUCUUCACUUUAUGGAAAUAUAAUCAUAUAUUAUGCGUGCUUUUGUGUUCGGCUUCUUUUGUUCAGAAUUAUGCUUGUGGAAUUCAUCUAUGCCGUUGCAUAUUCCUGUGGUUUCAUUUCUUCUCAUAACUGUGUAGUGCUCCCUUUGGUGAUACACCACAAUUUAUUUAUUCAACUGUUGACAGGCAUUCGGUUGUUUCAUCAUGGGCUAUUACAAAUAAUGCUAUCAUGAGCAUUUUUUAGAUGUCUCUUGGUGCACGUGUGCAAAUCAUUUUGUUGGAUAUAUACUUAAGAGUGGAAUUGAUGGAUUAUGGGGAAUACCUAUCUUCGCUUUUAGUAGAUAUGAAAUUGUUUUCCGAAACAGUGGAACCAAUUAACUUUAUCACUGGUGUUCUUCAUGCUCCUUGCCAACACUGGGCAUUAUCCAUCCUUUUAAUUACAGUAAUUCUGGUGGGGUAUGUAGUGUCAUCUCAUUAUUGUUUUACAUCACAUUUUUUGAUUUGUUGAUGAGGCUGGACACUUUUUUAUAGGUCUGCUGGUCAUUGGGCUAUCCUCUUUUUGUGACGUACAUGCUCCAAAUCUUAUCCUGUUUUUCAAUUGGAUUGUCUUUUCUUUAUUUGUUGAAGUUCUUUUUAUAUUAUUGAAAAAAGCCAUUUAAGACUUAUAUGUGCUGCAAAUUCUUUUCCCUCUCUGUUGCUUGCCUUUUCAGUAUCUUAAUGGUGUCUUUUUUACACCAUAAUUGAAAUGUGGUCAACUAUAUUAGUCUUUCCCAUUGUGGUUAGUGCUUUUUAAAUGCCAUUUAAGACAUUUUUACUAAUUUGAUGUCCUGAAGAUAUUUUUCUGUAUUACCUUCUAGAUCAGUGUUGUCUAAUAAAAAUACUAAGUGAGCUGCAUACGUAAUUUAAAAUUUGUAGUAUCCACAUUAAGAGAGCAAAAUAAUCAGAUAAAACUAAUUUUAAUAUUGUGUUAUUUAACUCACUCCAAAUUAGUAUUUCAAAGUUUCAAUAUAAAAAUUGAGAUAUUUCACAUUGUUUUUUCCUGCUAAGUAAUUAAAAUCCAAUGCAAAUUUUACUUAAUAGCACAUCUCAAAUGUUCAGUAUCCAUACAUGGGCAGAGCAGUUCUAGAAGAUUUAUUGUUUUUACCCUUUCACAUUAUAUCUUAUGUUCCACCUGAAAAUGAUUUUUUGAAUGAAUUGUGAGGUAGAAAUCAUUACUUACUCAUUUGGGCAUCCAGUUGCCUUAAGACCACUUUAUUGAAUAUAAAGACAGUCCUAUCUUCACUGUUCUGUUAUGCUACUUUGGUAUUAAAGUGUCCACAUAUGUGUGUCUUGUUUCUGUAUUCUGUGUCAUUUGUCUAUUUUUCUAUGCUUGCACCAGUAUUACACUAUCUUAUUAUAAUUUUUAUAAUAAGUUUUGAUACCUGGUAAAGAAGAAUUUCUUCUUAGGAGAGUCUUGGCUACUCUUGACCCUUUACAUUUCCAUAUAAAUUAUAAUCAGCUUGCCAGGUUCUGCAAAAAUAUCUUUUGGAGUUUUGAUUGAGAUUGUAUUGAAUCUAAGGAUCAGUUUGAGGAGAGCACUUCUUUUUAUAUUAUCUGUUCAUCAGAUGCUCUCAUCUGGGUAGGAUCUGGACAUGCUGUGCCUUCCAGACUCUGCUACUUUUCCCUUUCUGGCGUGGAAGCAGCUAACUGAGAGGGAGGCUCAACCUUCAGCUUUGAUGAGAGCACUGGAGGGCCCCCUCCCUCUUUUUGCAGGAGACUUUCCUUAAGGGCAGAAAGUCCCUGGCAAGAUUCUGGAAUUCUAGGAUGAAGAAAAAUGAAGUCUGGGAGGAACCAGACCCAAAAAAACACAAUAAAAAACAAAACUCUGUCCCCUGUAUCUAUGUAGCAGGGGCCUUGUACACUGUGUGUGAGUUCUCAGGGGUCACCUGUUCUUGCAUUGACUUGAACCUAGGGCACAUCAACACAACUUACCCUACUUGAGAACAGAUUAACGCUUUUUACUCCUCACUCUCCUCUUUCUCUGUCAUCAGUCCUACAGUUUGCUUUGUGGUUUCAGACCAAGUUCCACUGAGAAACCAGUUCCAAAGGUAGAGGCUUGUAUGUCCUAGCUGACUAGACAGGAGAGGAAAGGAACAGACUGUCUUGGCCGGGCGGGCGGAUCACUUGAGGUCAGGAGUUUGAGACCAGCUUGGCCAACAUAGUGAAACCCCAUCUCUACUAAAAAUACAAAAAAUUAGCCAGGCAUGGUGGCGGGCGCCUGUAAUCCCAGCUACUCGGGAGGCUGAAGUGGGAGAAUCACUUGAACUAAGAGGUGGAGGUUGCAGUGAACCAAGAUCACACCACUGUACUCCAGCCUGGGCAACAGAGUGAGACUGUCUCAAAAAGAAGAAAAGACUGUCUAGAAAAAGGUAAUCUCUAGAAUCGGAAGAGGGUUAACAAAAUGAGGAUUAAGGCAAAAUACAGUUAGUAAUAAGAUAACAAGGAAUCUGCUCAUGGAAAAGGGGUCCUUGUAACUUACUGAGGCUGAACGUUGGUUUACCAUCUUACAUUUUCUACGUCCAUUAAAUCAGCCUUCUGGGAAUCCACAGUCCUGGCAAUUCUGAACUGCCCCAGUAGGAGGGAAGCCAUCUCUCCAGGGUGAGAUAGGUGAGCCAUCAGGUCUGGUUGUGGGAGUCCACAGUCCUGGCACUUCUGAACUGCCCCAGUAGGAGGAAAGCCAUCUCUCCAAGGUGAGAUUUGUGAGCUGUCAGGUCUGGCUGAGAGAAUCCACAGUCCUGGCAAUUCUGAACUGCCCCAGUAUGAGGGAAACCAUCUCCCCAGGGUAAGAUUUGUGAGACGUCAGGUCUGGUUGUGGGAGUCCACAGUCCUGGCACUUCUGAACUGCCCCAGUAUGAGGGAAGCCAUCUCUCCAGGGUGAGAUUCAUGAGCCAUCAGGUCUCGUUGGGAGAAUCCACAGUCCUGGCAACUCUGAACUGCCCCAGUAUGAGGGAAACCAUCUCUCCAGGGUAAGAUUUGUGAGUCGUCAGGUCUGGUUGUGGGAAUCCACGGUCCUGGCACUUCCGAACUGCCCCAGUAUGAGGGAAGCCAUCUCUCCAGGGUGAGAUUCAUGAGCCAUCAGGUCUCGCUGGGAGAAUCCACAGUCCUGGCAAUUCUGAACUGCCCCAGUAUGAGGGAAACCAUCUCUCCACGGUGAGAUUUGUGAGCCAUCAGGUCUGGUUGUGGGAGUCCACAGUCCUGGAAAUUCUGAACUGCCCCAGUAGGAGGGAAGCCAUCUCUCUAGGAUAAGAUGCAGGGGUGUACUAGGUUGUGGGGAUUAGAGUACAGGGGACUAGCAAGAGGUGCUAUGAGGAGGGCGAGGGGGAAAGAUAGGAGGACACUUGGAAAGGGGUGCCUGACGAGCAGGGCGGUGGCAUACGGACGCUCUGGAAUUGACAGAGGAAGAGCUGGGCAGGGAGUUCCGGGAGGUAGGGUGCUGGGAAGGGGCGACAUUAGUCAGCUGGGGGAAACGGGUAUGCUGGAAAACUGAACAGCUUGGACGGUCCUGGAGAGGAGGCUGAGGGCAGGAAGUUUGAGGAGUAAGGGGAGGAAGGAGGGCUGGAAGACGAGAGCCAGAAGGAACAGAAAGAAAUGGAGGCCAGGGUUGAGGCCGAGAAAUUGGAGGUAGCUUUCUGGUCAUUUUUCCAAAUGAGUGCUGUAGUAACUAACUCACUUGUCCAAACGAGUCAGAAUGAAUAACUGAGAUGUGCUGAGACUGACUCCAGCAUUUAUCUCCUCAGGACAUUCCAUCACAGAAUGCCUAUUAUGAAACAUACAUUUAUCUCCUUAGGACAUUUCUUGACGCAAUGCCCAUUAUGAAACAUACAUGCUCCCUUUUGUUCUAGCGAGGAGGCCCCAUCAAUCAGGGAAAUGGUCCCAGUUUCUCAGUUUAAGAGUGGUCAUGGGAUGUAGCAAAGAAAAUAAAUGGGUCUGUAAUUAUUGGUCCUUGUUCUUGGGAUACCAUGUAGUUUUGCCCCUCCAUAGGCAAAGAUUGAUCAAGGGGCUAACAGAGGCAGGGGCUUGGGGCCUAGGAGAGCAGUUCUGAAUCAGGAAUUGGGAAAAUGAGAAGUCAGUAUCCUAGUCUCUUUUCCUUACUACAUUGUUCAAAGCCCUUUCACAUCAUUUACCUCACUGUGUGAAUGCACAUGAUUAGAGAUGUUACGUUCAUUUUAUCAAUGAGGACACUAAAGACCAGAAAACGAACUACCAGUAGGCAUAAAGCAGGUGGGACUAGAACUUGGCCAGAAAGAGGGCUGGUGGGAGGGAGCACAGAAUGGCACAAAGUGCUUACCAGCAUCUUUGCCUCCUCCUAUGUCUCUGGACAGGAUCUUGGAGGAGGAGCUUAAGAGCAGAACUGUACUUUUCGUAGCUUACCUUUUAGUUCCUGUGUUCCCUUCGUUUGAUGCCUUUCUGUUCACUGGAACCAGAAACAUAAGGCCAAAGCUGGUACACUCUCUGCCCAUUGAAACUGUGCCCCAAAGAGCUGAAGAAAGCAGUAACAGAAAUCUUCGAGCUUGCAGGAUGGCAGAUAAGAAACAACUUGCUAAAAUAAAACUCCCUCCCCUUCUAAGAGAAUGAAAUUAGCUAAAAUUGGUUAAAACGAAUAUGGCCAAUGAAUAUAUGUAGAAUGAACUUGCUGAUAUCACAACCCAAAUUUCUACCACAUGUUUCAUACUGACUCCUCUUGUUUCAUACUAACUCCCCCUGAAUUUGUGUAUGGGAUCCAUGAGGAGGCAUGGAGAGAUAACUGUGCAUGCCUGAGGGACUUUGCAGAUGUUCCCUUUCCUUCUACCAACCACUUGCUAAUCCCAGAAUCAGCCCCCUAACCUGUUCUAAUAAAAGUACUGCCUUAAAGCCAGCACAGGGAGACAGAUUUGAGCUGGACUCCUGUCUCCUUGUUGAGUAACCUGCAAUGAAAAGCUUUUCUUUUCUCAAAAACCUGGUGUCAUAGUAUUGGCUUUGUAAACCAAAAAUAAAAUUCAAAGGCACCCCUGCAACCAUCCCAAUGGAUUCCCUCCUCAGCCAGGGCACCCUAAAAUUUAACCAAAAAAGACUGGUUCAGGCCUUGAAGCCAGGUGGAGGUUGAACUUGCUUCAUUAUACCCUUCCAGCAUUACUAUCAACACAGACCUUAAGAAACAUUUACAGUCUAUUCUCUCUAAAGCCUGAUACUUGGAGGCUUCAUCUGCAUGAUAAAACCUCCGCAACCCCUUGUCUUCACCCAGACAUUCUUUUCUAUAGAUAAAAACUCUUUCAGCCAAUUGCCAAUCAGAACAUGUUUAAGUGUACCUAUGACUUGGAAGCCUCCUUCUUUGAGUUGUCCCACCCUUCCAGAUCAAACCAAUGUAAAUCUUAAUAUAUUGGUGGAUGUAUUGAAGGGGGCCUGCCCCUCCACACCUGUGGGUAUUUCUCGCAAGGUGGAGACGAGAGACUGAGAAAAGAAAUAAGACACGGAGACAAAGUAUAGAGGACGAAAAGUGGGCCCAGGGGACCGGCGCUCAGCAAGUUAGGACCUGCACCAGCGCUGGUCUCUGAGUUCCCUCAGUAUUAAUUGAUCACUAUCUUUACUAUCUUGGUGAGGGGAAUGUGGUGUAACUAUAGGGUGAUGGUGGGGAGAGGGUCAGCAGAAAAACAUUUGAGCAAAGGAAUCUGUGUCAUAAAUAAGGAAAGGUGUUGUGCCUGGAUGUGCACGUAGGCUAGUUUUAUGUUUAACUUUACAUAAACAUCUCAGUGCGGUAAAAAGUAACAGAGCAGUAUUGCCACCAUGAUGUCUCGCCUCCAGCCAUAAGGCGGUUUUCUCCUAUCUCAGAAUAGAAUGUAUGCUCGGUUUUAAACCAAGUCAUUCCAUUCCCAGAGACAUGCAGGAAACAAAUGCCUUCCUCUUAUCUCAACUGCAUAGAAGUCUUCCUCUUUCACUAAUCCUCCUCAGCACUGACCCUUUACAGGUGUCGGGCUGAGGGGCUGUAAGGUCUUUCCCUUCCCACGAGGCCAUAUCUUAGGCUGUCUCAGUGGGGAGAAACCUGGACAAUACCCAGGCUUUCUUGGGCAGGGGUCCCUGCGGCCUUCCACAGUGCAUUGUGUCUCUGGUUAAUAGAGAAUGGACAGUGGCGAUGACUUUCACAAAGCAUACUGCCUGCAAACACAUUUUUAACAAAGCACAUCCUGCACAGCCCUGAAUUCCUUAAACCUCGAGUCAAUACUGUCAGGCCUCUGAGCCCAAGCCAACCCAUCGCAUCCCCUGUGACUUGCACGUAUAUGCCCAGAUGGCCUAAAGUAACUGAAGAAUCACAAAAGAAGUGAAAAUGCCCUGCCCCGCCUUAACUGAUGACAUUCUACCACAAAAGAAGUGUAAAUGGCUGGUCCUUGCCUUAACUGAUGACAUUCCCCCACAAAAGAAGUGAAAAUGGCCGGUCCUUGCCUUAAGUGAUGACAUUACCUUGUGAAAGUCCUUUUCCUGGCUCCUCCUGGCUCAAAAACCUUCCUUACUGAGCACCUUGUGACCCCCACUCCUACCCACCAGAGAACAAACCCCCUUUGACCGUAAUUUUCCUUUACCUACCCAAAUCUUAUAAAACGGCCCCACCCCUAUCUCCCUUCGCUGACUCUCUUUUUGGACUCAGCCCGCCUGCACCCAGGUGAUUAAAAGCUUUAUUGCUCACACAAAGCCUGUUUGGUGGUCUGUUCACACGGACACGCAUGAAAAAUACAGCACAUGUUUCUGUGAGCACAGGGUUGGGACAAGAGUUACAGAUUAACAGCAUAUCAGAGCAGAACAAUUUUUCUUAGUGCAGAUCAAAAUGGAGUUUCUUAUAUCUUCCUUUUUCUACGUAGACACAGUAACAAUCUGAUCUCUCUUUGUUUUCCCCAUAAUGUAUUAUGUCUCCAUAAAAUGUAUAAAAGCAAGCUGGAGCCCAACCACCUUGGGCAUGUGUCCUCAGGACCUUCUAAGGCUGUGUCACAGGUACGUCUUUAACCUUGGCAAAAUAAACUUUCUAAAUUGAUUCAGACUUGUCUCAAAUACUUUUUGGUUUACAAAUUGGCAACCGAUGAAAGAGACUCUGAGUAUAGGUGGCCUCAACCUUUGACAAAUCUAUUGAUAUUUAGUACCAGCUUUUAGCUAUCUUUAUGGUCGAAACCAAUAGGACAAUUGGCUGAGACCUGGGAGCCCUCCUCCCUCCAGAGAAUCCUGAUCUCCCCAAAUUUGGUUGAGAUCCAAAGUGUCUUUUGCUGUACAACUCCUUUUCUAGAGUUUUACUUGCUUCCAACAAGGAAAGCAAGUUUUCCUGCUUCCAUGACAAUAGAAGGCAGGUAACUCCUUUCUGGAGUUAGAGCUCACUUCCAACAGAGAAGGCGAGUUUGAGUUUUCCUGCUUCUGGAAUGGUAGAGAGCAGUCUUCAGCCUGAGACCCAUUCCUAGGUAAGUGACUGAAUUGGGGUUUCAUCUUGGUUAAAGUUAUGAUGCAGCUGGUCGUAGUUUCUCCUUACUGUUACAGCGCUCAGUAAUCAUAUUGUUGGGUUUUUGUUGUUGUUUGUUCUGGUCUUUCUCCCAUCAGAUUUGACCAAUUCUGCCUGACUUAGUCAAAUCUGAAUAAAAAUUCCAAAUUGUAGGGAACAAGGCCUCUCUGAAUUAGCUAAAAUUCCUUGCUGCUGUGAAAGAAAAAAAAUCAAUUUCUGGUUACUUCCUGUCUUUAAAAAAAAAUUGUUCUUUCAUUUACUUUUUCUCUACCCUAUUCCUCCUUCCCCACUUUGCCAUACUCAGUACGAAGAAAAAUCUAGAGAUGACUCAAACCCCUUAAAGAACACAGAACAAAGGCACCACUCACCCCAUUUGGGGGUGUUCUGUUUUCUUUGUGGAGUUUCAAGGGUCAUGGGCAGAUUCUUCAUAGGUCUAAAGUUCUGCUUUCCUGUAUUACAUUACCUCACCUCUUUGGCUUUUGUGAGUAGCAGAGAUUACCUUGUACUGUGAGAGGAUUUGACCUUGAUGUGUGUACUGGUGGAUGAGAGCUACAAAGUUAAAGCUGACUGAGGACAGUUUACAGGAAGCAGUCUUCACUGUUUUGUUUUUUCCACCUAGGAAGUUGUUUAGGAUCCUAAUUCUAAUUCAGAGGUGCACUCUACAGAGUCUUCUCCAUUGCCUUUCCUCUCAAAAUUAAUCUUGAUUGGCUUCUCUGGGCAUUUGCGUAAGGAACUGAAAGUCAUUUUCAUAGAUAAAUGAGAGAAUGAGUUUCCUCAGCUCCCUAAAGGGCAUUUUGCUUCUCCCAGCUGAAAGCCUCCCCUGGAUUACUAGGGGCUAAGUGGGAGUGUCUAGUGGGUUGACCCCCAGCAACGUGCAGCAGCCCUACAGGGAACCCCCAACAAAAUUAGUUUUAAAAGGCUUGUCCAAGAAAUGAAUAUAGGAGCUGGUCGUUCCAUGCUUUGAGCCCUCCUGGAGGUGCUAGACCUCUGGAGACAAAAAUGACUCGGUGGAUAACACGCUAUGGAGUCCUGCCAAUAACCGGCACACUUCAACCCAUUCCACUAAACCCUAGGCCUUUAAAAAAAAAAAAAAAAAAAAGGUGGGAAACAA